rnacentral:rRNA from 1 species
CCUACGGGUGGCAGCAGUGGGGAAUAUUGCACAAUGGGGGAAACCCUGAUGCAGCGACGCCGCGUGAGUGAAGAAGUAUUUCGGUACGUAAAGCCCUAUCAGCAGGGAAGAAAAUGACGGUACCUGACUAAGAAGCCCCGGCUAACUACGGGCCAGCAGCCGCGGUAAUACGUCGGGGGCCAGCGUUAUCCGGAUUUACUGGGUGUAAAGGGAGCGUAGACGGCAGCGCAAGUCUGGAGUGAAAUCCCAUGGCUUAACCAUGGAACUGCUUUGGAAACUGUGCAGCUAGAGUGCAGGAGAGGUAAGCGGAAUUCCUAGUGUAGCGGUGAAAUGCGUAGAUAUUAGGAGGAACACCAGUGGCGAAGGCGGCUUACUGGACUGUAACUGACGUUGAGGCUCGAAAGCGUGGGGAGCAAACAGGAUUAGAUACCCGUGUAGUC